GGUGAGUAAUGUCUGGGAAACUGCCUGAUGGAGGGGGAUAACUACUGGAAACGGUAGCUAAUACCGCAUAACGUCGCAAGACCAAAGAGGGGGACCUUCGGGCCUCUUGCCAUCGGAUGUGCCCAGAUGGGAUUAGCUAGUAGGUGGGGUAACGGCUCACCUAGGCGACGAUCCCUAGCUGGUCUGAGAGGAUGACCAGCCACACUGGAACUGAGACACGGUCCAGACUCCUACGGGAGGCAGCAGUGGGGAAUAUUGCACAAUGGGCGCAAGCCUGAUGCAGCCAUGCCGCGUGUAUGAAGAAGGCCUUCGGGU
rnacentral:rRNA from 1 species